rnacentral:lncRNA from 1 species
UGAAAUGUGUGGUCACGCGCUUUUAAAAGCGGGUGAAUACACUGGGUUUGAUUAAAAAAAUACUAAAAUCAAAAGAAACAAUAAUUAUCUCUAUACAAACCAAAGUGAAAAUUUUCUCAUUCCCCAAAUCUGCACAAAGAACAAAUAUAUGAACUAUUGUCAAAGUAAUACAGAAACAACAGAAUUAGAAGGAAGAGCAAGUAUUCAAGCGAAAUUAAAUUCCGGCCAAAUUUUUUACUAAGAUCUGAUAGUUUGCCUAAGUUUAUUUGGGGUUUAAUAACAUAAAAGGAAGAGCGGAAGUCGCCGACAAAUGUUGUGGUGGAAUGAAGGUCCCGGAAAAGUUAUAUUUUCGGCCAGAUCUAAUUUAUUCGGCUCCAGACCUGUAAAAAACUAACAAACAGUUAGAGAAAAUAAAAUAGGGGGGAAGGGACGAUGAAGAAGAGAAACGACAGAGAUGAGGAGUGAAGCAACAGUCACCGGAUUCUAAGGUGGGGGUGAGUUUAUCUGCGUUCGAGCUCCCAAAAAGAGUUUUAUGCUUGGGAAAAAUCAUGAUAUGAUUUUGUGCAUUUCGUAAUGGGUUUUAUAGGAAUUGUAGGAAGAAAAAGAGAGAGUAUGAUUGCUCAUCGUGGGAGAAGCCAUGAAAGGUGCUGGGUUAAUCUUGAAAGAUGAAGAACAUAUGAAGAAUUGGUUUUUUGGGGGGGGGGGG